CUCCGGAAUGCCAGUCACGGGUCCAAACUUUGUGUGUCCCAACCUCCCACAUGAUGAAAUGAUCCUUUUAAAGCGAGCUCAAUAUGUCUCAAUCUGCACUCCUCUUCCCCCUGUAAAGCUUCUGGGCUCGGGACAAGGCCCAGAAAUAUAUUAAUUAAAGCGCACUACUACAGCCUCUUUAGUACUGGGGAAGGAGCAGUUGGAUCAAGUCAAGCUCUGUCAGCGACGGAUGGAUAAAGAUUCACGACAGGAAAAGAGAAAAAGGAGCUGCUGCGGGUGGUGACAGUGUUGGAGAUCUCCUCUGCUUCCUCGCCCUCUUUUGCCUCCAGGACCUCACUGAAGAACCUGAAGAUGGAUUUGAAACUCAUCCAGGAGAACCGAUCAACACUGCAGUGCCAUCUCGUUCGCCCUGAACUGGAGGUGAACUCCUCCGGAAAGCCGCCAGCCUCUCCACCUAUCCCAUCGCAAUCUGGGGUCAUCAGGGGGGUGUCUCUGUGCCAAUAUGCAGAUGAGCCUGUGCCCCUCCAGUGACUCUGGUGUUAAGCGCCACCCCUCUAUAUGAUGGAGGCUUUGAAAACACCAGAAAACACUCACACACACCAACAUAAACCCACUCUCACACGGGGCUUAAAUAGGCCUCUAACAGCUUACGUCUACUCUUUCUUUAACAGCCAAAGUGUGUCAAACCUAAUGGAUGUUGUCAAAGCUGAGAUGUGACCACUGAUUUAGAGGAGGAACCCCGGUGACCAGGCUUCACUAGCCACUAAAGACACAGAGAGAGAGAGCGUGAGAGAGAAUGAAAGAGGGACAGAAUUACCUCAGCUCUGCCACAAAUCAAAGUAAAAAGACGUGGGGAUCGAUGAGGUGUCAUCUGGCUGCAUCUAGUGUAUAAAGCGAACCCAUAAACAGCCAAUGAGUACUACUUUAACCUCAAUUUUAGCCUGUUACUGAAAAGGCUGUUCGACUGAUAAGCAGAUAUUUUUAUGGGCAAUCGAUCGCACGCAUUGUUAAAACACAAUUUAACAGACAAAGAGCUCUUCCAUUUUCAAUAUUUUAAUUAAAAUGUAUUUUGUAUUUAAUUGGUCAAACUUUGAAACUAAAGAAUCUUGUGUAUUUGUGUGCUUCUUUGCAUUAACCAUGAUCAGUGCAUGUUGU